rnacentral:rRNA from 1 species
UCCAAAUGAUUUAUCGCCGUAGGAUGGGACUGCGGCCUAUCAGUUUGUUGGUGAGGUAAUGGCCCACCAAGACUAUUACAGGUACGGGCUCUGAGAGGAGUAGCCCGGAGAUGGGUACUGAGACACGGACCCAGGCCCUAUGGGGCGCAGCAGGCGAAAAAACUUUGCAAUGUGCGAAAGCACGACAAGGUUAAUCCGAGUGGUUUCUGCUAAAGAAACCUUUUGUCAGUCCUAGAAACACUGAUGAAUAAGGGGUGGGCUAGUUCUUGGUGUCAGCCGCCGCGGUAAAACCCAGCACCCUCAAGUGGUCAGGAUGAUUAUUGGGCCUAAAGCAUCCGAAGCCGGGCUCUGUAAGUUUUCCGUUAAAUCUGUACGCUCAACGUACAGGCUGCCGGGAAUACUGCUGAGCUAGGGAGUGGG